GUGUCAAUCUGCUGUGGGCUGAUAAAGUGAAUAUGCGUAUCAAGACCGCCGGCCGUAACGAUAAGCCCUUCGGCUGCUAAGGCUUCCGUAGAUGCACCAACCGUAAGGCCGGGCGUGACACCCUCCAUGAUGUCAGGAUUGCCGGCUUUGCCGAUGCCGACGAUGCGGCCGUCCUUGAUGCCGAUGUCGGCUUUGACGAUGCCCUGGACAGGGUCCAUCACGAUGGCAUUCGUGAGAACGAGGUCCAGAGCCCCACCGUCACUGGUAAUCUCAGAGGCCUGCCCCAUACCGUCGCGC
rnacentral:sRNA from 1 species